CUGGAAUUGCUAGUAAUGGCAGGUCAGCAUACUGCCGUGAAUACGUUCCCGGGCCUUGUACACACCGCCCGUCACACCAUGAGAGUUGGAAAUACCCGAAGCCUGUGAGCUAACUUAAAGAGGCAGCAGUCGAAGGUAGAGCCAAUGAUUGGGGGUGAAGUCGUAACAAGGUAAC
rnacentral:rRNA from 1 species